UUUAUCCUGACGAAAGUUCAAACUCUCGAAACUUUCGUGUAGUAUCGGGGGCGGUCGUGCGGAGCCGACUGUAAACCGCCUAAGCUCCUCCUCCUUUCUUCGUUUAGGAUAUGUCUAGGCCGAAACAGAAUAAAAACGUGUUCUUCUUUCAAAUUUUUGGGCAAAUAGACAAAAAUUUGACGUUUAUCCCUAGAUCAUAUAUAUAGAAAUACAUUUUUAAGAUAUUUGUAUACUGUGUUUGUAUAUAAAUUAUAUAUGAUCUAGAGAUUUAUGAUGUGACGAGCAGGUUUUAUUCAAAUAUUUAAAUUAAUCUUUAAUAGCAUUAUGUAAUAGUUAAUAUCUUUUAUGGGUAAUUACCCUUUUAUUGCUGGUUUGGCAGAUUAAGAUUUAUGAUGUUUUCAUAAUGUUUUCCGUCAAAAGAAAUUUAUAUUUAUGAAUUAGUUUUCAGCGGAAGGCUUUAGUAAAAAAUUCGAACCUUAGUAACCGUUUUCUUUUUGCCAAAAAGGUAGAUAUUUUUUUAUGUUAGAAGUUAUAACUUAAUUGGGCAUUGGGCAUCAAAAUAAACAUGUGAAUAUCUUGACUUGGUGUUUGUUGUCUACUUUAAGUGGUACUGAAUUUAUUAAAAUAAACGUUGUUUUCUACA
rnacentral:lncRNA from 1 species